AAUAACAUGCAUACCUUUGGAACAGCAUUCAAGCACGGGCAACAGCACAACCAAUGGUUCUGGUCAAUCUGAAUCUGCUGAUGAUGACUUGCCAAGUGUCAUGACAUGUGCGAAUUACUUAAAGCUUCCUCCCUACUCCUCCAAGGAAAUCAUGCACAAGAAACUUCUCUAUGCAAUAAGCGAAGGGCAAGGAUCUUUUGAUUUGUCUUGAGUCUCCGAACUAACUGGCUGGAUUUUCGUUUUAGCAUAUCAGAAGCCUUACCUUCCAGGUUAACUGACAAAAUGGCUAGUUAAGAUUGAUGGGUUGUCGUCUAUUCCUGAAAGAGCUUAUGAGGUAUUUUUUGGUGGAGCUCUGGUGCCUGUCCUUGUAAAUGAGGGUGAUC